GACGGAGGGGGCAAGCGUUGUUCGGAAUCAUUGGGCGUAAAGGGCUCGUAGGCGGGCCUGUAGGUCUGGCGUGAAAUCUCCACCGCUCAACGGGGAGGGGUCGUCGGAAACCGCAGGCCUGGAGUACGGCAGGGGACCAUGGAAUUCCUGGUGUAGCGGUGGAAUGCGUAGAUAUCAGGAGGAACACCGGUGGCGAAGGCGGGAUCCUGGGCCAGUACUGACGCUGAGGAGCGAAAGCGUGGGGAGCGAACAGG
rnacentral:rRNA from 1 species